GCUUUUCAGUGUCUUCUCAGAAACAAGCAGCCUUGAAGGCUACAAGUGACAAGAAAGAUUCUGUUUCGAAUAUAGCCACAGAAAUAAAGGAUGGACAAAACUCUGGGACAGUGUCUUCUCAGAAACAACCGGCCUUGAAGGAUACAAGUGACAAGAAAUAUUCUGUUUUGAACAUAGCCACAGAAAUAAAAGAUGAACAAAAAUCUGGGACAG